UUUUGACAGGUUAACUUAGAGCUACCUGUAGACACCUACACAGAGUCAGUAGCAGCAGCAAUAAGACCAUCAUUUCAGCCCCUUCCCCUUCUCUCAGAUGCCAGGUCCAUGCACCCGUCCCUCUGCACCCUGUCUGUGUAGCUUUCUAAUCUCUGGCCGCUGACCUGGGCCACUAGCCGCCUCCCCACACUGAGAACUGACCCCAGCCCCCUGCCCCUAGGUUGUGCACAGGGACCUGAAGCCCAGCAACAUCCUGUAUGUGGACGAGUCCGGGAAUCCCGAGUGCCUGCGCAUCUGUGACUUUGGUUUUGCCAAACAGCUGCGGGCUGAGAAUGGGCUCCUCAUGACACCUUGCUACACAGCCAACUUUGUGGCGCCUGAGGUGCUGAAGCGCCAGGGCUACGAUGAAGGCUGCGACAUCUGGAGCCUGGGCAUUCUGCUGUACACCAUGCUGGCAGGGUGAGUGCCCCUGGCCUGGACCCUUCCCCACUCCUGCAGCCCUAGCACUUGGGCUGAGUGGUGCUUGUCUGAUAGGAAUGGCUCAGCCAGCCCCGC
rnacentral:sRNA from 1 species